rnacentral:sRNA from 1 species
AAUGUUAUUUCUACAACCUUUAAAGUUAGGAAUAAUUUAAUUGUUAUUACUAUAUAGUAGAAGUAUAUUUCCAAAAUUCCAAAGACUGUAUAGAAUCGAUCAAAUUAAUCUCAGAUACCAAGCCAGAUAGAUUAACAAAUUACUUACCAGAAUAUAUAACAAGGAGGGAAAGAAAAGUGAAUAUGUUCAAAAAAACUAUUCAUUUUCACGGAGACCUUUUGUUCUACCUACGGAUAUAUAUUGGCUAACUUUUUUUUGGUAAAAAGUUAAAUUUUAUACCAAUUUUCUAAUUUUUUCUCUACAAUGCUGAAACAGCUUAUUUAAAAAAGCAACAAUUAGAAAGGGAAGGAGAUACAACCAAAGUAGAAACUAAGAAGAGAAAUAGAAGAAGAAGGAGGACCAGGGAAGGAUAGAAGGCGGUCUCUAACGGUGCGGUCCACGGCAGCCUUAGUCACAGAAGCCGAAGUGGAGAUGUUGGUGAAGAUCCUUGCAUUUCGUUCGCGCCAAAUGAGAUAGCACGCAACCUGAGCGAUGAGCUUGAUGAUGACAGAAGAGAGAGUUUGAGGUUGGAGCUUGCGCUGUAAAAUCUAAGAUGAGACUGAGAGAAGAUCCAAGGGUGGCAAGCGCCAAACUUUAGAAGUUAAAGCUUCCCAAACAGAGGAAGAGAAGGGGCAUUCGAAGAAUAAGUAUCGAUGAGUCUCGAUGCCAGCAGAACAGAGAACACAAGCUGAGGUGACGUUAAUACCCCAGCCCCGCAACCUGUCCUUAGUAGGCAAUCUGCCCAGGAACGCAAGCCACAUAAUAAAUGAGUAGCGCGGAACUAACUUGAUUUUGGAGUCAAUAAUCCAUAGCUUGCUUUUCAAAUAUCUUUUU